UAGAGUAAAGGGUUAACAGCUUCCCUGCCAGGUCAUUGGUCACGUCCACCUGACCCUGCCACUGGUGCAGCUCCUUCACAAACAGCUGUUGAGACCACAGAAAACAGUUAUAGAUAAAGACAUAAAAUGACGAUACAGAACAUCACCCUAAUACACAGUAACAACCCUCUAGUGGCCCAGAGGAAGCAGAUACCCUCUAAAUAUACAGCUCUGAUACAGAACAUCACCCUAAUACACAGUAACAACCCUCUAGUGGCCCAGAGGAAGCAGAUACCCUCUAAAUAUACAGCUCUGAUACAGAACAUCACCCUCAUACACAGUAACAACCCUCUAGUGGCCCAGAGGAAGCUGAGACCCUCUAAAUAUACAGCUCUGAUACAGAACAUCACCCUCAUACACAGUAACAAUCCUCUAGUGGCCCAGAGGAAGCAGAUACCCUCUAAAUAUACAGCUCUGAUACAGAACAUCACCCUAAUACACAGUAACAACCCUCUAGUGGCCCAGAGGAAGCCGAGACCCUCUACAUAUACAGCUCUGAUACAGAACAUCACCCUAAUACACAGUAACAACCCUCUAGUGGCCCAGAGGAAGCCGAGACAGAGACCCUCUAAAUAUACAGCUCUGAUACAGAACAUCACCCUCAUACACAGUAACAACCCUCUAGUGGCCCAGAGGAAGCAGAGACCCUCUAAAUAUACAGCUCUGAUACAGAACAUCACCCUAAUACACAGUAACAACCCUUUAGUGGCCCAGAGGAAGCCGAGACAGAGACCCUCUAAAUAUACGGCUCUGAUUGGAAGUCCUCUAACUAGAGUUUAAGUUGUAGCCUAGCAACAACACCUGACUCAACAAAUGAAGAUCCAGGAUGGAAGAACAUUCAUAUCAGUUCUUCCUCUAACUAGACUAGAGGGAGUCAUAGCAACACAGGGACUGUACUAGAGGGAGUCAUAGCAACACAGGGACUGUACUAGAGGGAGUCAUAGCAACACAGGGACUGUAACAUGAUUCCUGGAAACGUUGCUGAGCAGAGUGGUAGAACAGGGCCUGUUGGAUGUUGUAAUAUUCAGUAUUCCAGGCUUUGCCACUCUAGUCUCAUUACAUUCUCAUCCUGUUAUACUGUAGUGAUGAGGAUUCCUCAUCUAGUCCUUAUCAGAAAGACGCCUCACAGCUUUACACAUAUUACCUUCCUGGAAUCAUCUCCACUCCGUGCUGCACAUGCUCAAGUGUGUGUGUGCGUGUGUGUGUGUGUGUGUGUGUGUGUGUGUGUGUGUGAGAGUGAGAGUGAGAGCGAGAGUGAAAGAGAGAGAGUGAGAGAGAGAGAGAGGGUUCGCCAGGGUUGCAAUCUGAGCCCUGCACUCUUCAAUAUUUACAUCAGCGAAUUGGCCACUAUUCUAGAUAAAUCCUCAGCCCUGGUGUCAGUCUCCACAGUUCAGAGGUUAAACGCCUGCUCUUCGCUGAUGACCUAUGCCUGCUGUCACCCACAGCACAUGGCCUACAGCAGAGCCUGGACCUGCUAGAGCAGUACUACCAGACCUGGGCCCUGGCAGUAAACCCCCACAGCACAUGGCCUACAGCAGAGCCUGGAUCUGCUAGAGCAGUACUGCCAGACCUGGGCCCUGGCAGUAAACCCCCACAGCACAUGGCCUACAGCAGAGCCUGGACCUGCUAGAGCAGUACUNNNNNNNNNNCCAGACCUGGGCCCUGGCAGUAAACCCCCACAGCGCAUGGCCUACAGCAGAGCCUGGAUCUGCUAGAGCAGUACUGCCAGACCUGGGCCCUGGCAGUAAACCCCCACAGCGCAUGGCCUACAGCAGAGCCUGGAUCUGCUAGAGCAGUACUACCAGACCUGGGCCCUGGCAGUAAACCCCCACAGCACAUGGCCUACAGCAGAGCCUGGAUCUGCUAGAGCAGUACUACCAGACCUGGGCCCUGGCAGUAAACCCCAAAAAGACUAAAAUAAGGAUUUUCCAGAGAAGAUCCAGAUCUCAGGGAAUUAGACCAAAGUUCUCAAUUGGUACAAAAUAUAUAUGUCAGGUGUGUGUGUACUGGUAGCGGAGUCGGGUGCAGGAGAGCAGAGAGGUGUGAACAGGCACACACUUUAUAUUGGCAGGAGAAACCAACAGCCAA
rnacentral:lncRNA from 13 species